rnacentral:rRNA from 1 species
GAUGAACGCUGGCGGCGUGCCUAAUACAUGCAAGUCGAGCGAACAGACGAGGAGCUUGCUCCUCUGACGUUAGCGGCGGACGGGUGAGUAACACGUGGAUAACCUACCUAUAAGACUGGGAUAACUUCGGGAAACCGGAGCUAAUACCGGAUAAUAUAUUGAACCGCAUGGUUCAAUAGUUAAAGACGGUUUUGCUGUCUCUUAUAGAUGGAUCCGCGCCGCAUUAGCUAGUUGGUAAGGUAACGGCUUACCAAGGCAACGAUGCGUAGCCGACCUGAGAGGGUGAUCGGCCACACUGGAACUGAGACACGGUACAGACUACUACGGGAGGAAGCAGUAGGGAAUAUUCCGCAAUGGGCGAAAGCAUGACGGAGCAAAGCCGAGUGAGUGAUGAAGGUCUUCGGAUCGUAAAACUCUGUUAUUAGGGAAGAACAAAUGUGUAAGUAACUAUGCACGUCUUGACGGUACCUAAUCAGAAAGCAACGGCUAACUACGUG